GGCCAUCAAGAAAAUGUCGUACAGCGGCAAGCAGACAAACGAGAAAUGGCAGGACAUCAUUAAAGAGGUGAAGUUCCUGCAGAAACUUCGCCACCCGAACACGAUCGAGUACCGAGGAUGUUACCUGAAGGAGCACACGGCAUGGCUGGUGAUGGAGUACUGCCUCGGCUCGGCCUCCGACCUCCUCGAAGGUCA